UACAAGUCAAUUCGCCAUACUGCAGUGACAUAAUUGAGUUAAGAUAUGGAGACUUCAUAUGACCAUCACCCUAAUAUCUGAGUACUAGAUGAGGAGAAAGGUGAUUAUUUGGGUCUUGUAGUACAGCUUCAUUCAGCCUAGUACAUUCAGAGCCUCAAGGGCCACUUCAAGAAAUUAACGAAAGUGUCACUAUUCAACCUACAUCAGGAACGAAAACUUAUACCAGAAUUAGGGGCAACAGAGGAUGUUAAAAAGACGACGAAAAAAUUAAGCAGGGAUUGAAAAUGCCAGCAAUUAUAUACGGUGUUUUAUACAACGUAAACAAUUUCAAAGAGUAGGUAUAGAUUCUGUAAUUAUUUAUCAUCUUAUCUCCUGUAGAGAGGAAAAGCCAGCAGAAAGGACAAAAUCUUCCUUACAAAAAAUCACAGAACCCUUUGUGAAGUGCUGCAAUCCCAGUUGCAAACUUAGAGCAACAUUAUGUGCAUCCUUGUAAGCUAACAGAAGUAAUGGUGCUGGAUUAUGUCUGGACAACUGAUCGUGGACAGAGCAAGUUACGGAUCUGCUGGGAAGCAAGGAAGGGAGUACAAUAUAUACUAACCAGAACAUGAUAAACAUUUCUAAGUCACUGAAAUUCCUUCAUGGACAAAUCAAAACAUAGUCCAAUCUGAGUAGAUUUGGGGAAAAACAAGUAAAAUUUGAUCUACUUCCUACUUCUUAUAGAUACAAAAAGCCUUCAGAGGAUGAAGUAAAAAGAAAGCAAGCAGAUAAAAGACAACUGAAAAAUCAGCUAACACAGAUACUGGAUGACAUGCAGGCCCAUGAACACUUUGGGGAACAUAUCCAAAACACAGCUUCCAGAACGCAAAGAUUCAGGUUUCCAGAAACACUGACAUUGAAAUUCCAAAAUGCUAUUUCCUUGACAAAAACGAUCUUUUUUUAAAAAAAAUUAGUUUUCUACAUCAAUGACAGCACUUUUAAAGGUAUAUCUACAUCUCUUUACACACAAUUUUCUAAAAGAUGUAUUUUUCCAAAGGCUUUUAAGUUGAAGCGUGGCUGCCUCAGUUUUGACUGAAUACGCUGCAUUACAGACUGAGUGCCGUGUGGUGUUAUACUAACUUAAACUCUGCGGUCCUACCAGAUAUUGUAUGACAUGACCUCCAAGAGGAUCAGGAAACUAUUUUAAUUGGAAAACGGCACAUUCAAUUCCCUUGCUCACUACUCAGAACAUCAGGAAAAAAAGAAAAAAAGUGAAACAGCAGGAUUCAACUAAAAAGCAUUUUUUUUCCAGCAACAGUUUUAAUUAUUACAUUUAAUUAUUACAUUUCUAAGCAAGUAUCAUUGCUAAGCCAUAUAUAGCUUCUGGAACUUCUGCAGCUGUUAAAUGGAAAGAAGUGAGUUUCAGUAUAACACUAAUUCCUUAAUUCAACAAAGAUUAUUAGAUAAUCACAAGAUGAUUUGUCUCUCUUCUCUUUGCACAUCUCUAUACUUCCCUUUUUUUUUAACGCAUCUCUUUCCUUUUUGUCACCGUCCCUUUAUUCCUACUGCAUUUACUUUUCAUUCAUCUCCCUACAUAGCAUUUUAUUGUCUUUUACCACAAUCUUCUCAAAAGACCGGCAACAUCAGUCAUGUAGCCAGUGCUACUUUUCUAGCAAAUUUAAUCAUUUACAGAAACAAUUUGCUAAUAAAGCUCAUACAUUAUUUAUCUAAUGAUUUAGAAAGCUUUCCACUUAAAUGGCCUACUGUUUAUGUCCAGUUUAAACUACAAAGCUUCCUGCCGUAACUUCACAUAUGCAAAACCAACAGAAAUAAGCACAGUCACUAAAAGCACCUUAUGGGGAACUGAAGUCCCUUGCCCUUUUCCCUCUCCCAUUCCCAGUACUCCACGUGCAGGUGUAAGUUUCUCUGUAGCCCAGCAGUGAAUCAGACAGGGGAACUGACUCCAGCUGUAGCUACGCUUCCUUAGUUCCCCGUUUUUCCUUAGUGAACAUUAAUCUUAACUGUUCUCAGCCAUAAACUGUUUCCCUCCCCAAUACGUGCAUGAGAUGAGUACUCUGCUCUUCCCUGAAGCAGGGUUCAAAAGGUGAACAGCGAUAUGAAAUUCUCAUCAUGGAACAAAGGCUGCCUGGCACCUCCAGGAGUAACGUGUUGUUAGAGUGACCAGCAGCAGAAAGAUCAGAAAAGGGAAAACAGGUGAAGAGAUCUCUGAUGGAGAACUUCCGUAUUACCAGUUGUGGUGUAGUCAAAAGGAAGAGGGAACAAUUAAUGAGUUCACUUAAAAAUCCUGUUCUUGUAAUUUUACUGUCCUAAGAAGACAAGUGUAUUGUACCACAAAGCUGUUUUAUGUGAAAUCCGUGUGUGUCUGCAUGUGAGAGUUAUGCAAUCUCUAGAGCUCCCUCCUAAAUAGUUAGUAACGUCAUACAUCAUAUCUUAAAUUAACUGAUUUAACUGAUUAACUGAUUACUAUGUCCCUGCUAGGAAGCUUCUCUCUACAUACACUCACUCUGUAAGGAUAUGAGAAAGCCUUACUGGUCAUUGAAAUAGUCACCAAAUCACAUCAAGAAACUGCUGGGGGGCUGAGGGGUGGAAGGGAGGUGGGGGAACACAGUUUCUCUGUAGGG